rnacentral:rRNA from 1 species
CAGCAGCCGCGGUAAAACGAAGGGUGCAAGCGUUACUCGGAAUUACUGGGCGUAAAGCGUGUGUAGGUGGUUGUUUAAGUCUGUCGUGAAAGCCCUGGGCUCAACCUGGGAAUUGCGAUGGAUACUGGGCGACUAGAGUGCGGUAGAGGAUAGUGGAAUUUCCGGUGUAGCAGUGAAAUGCGUAGAGAUCGGAAAGAACACCAACGGCGAAAGCACUCUGCUGGGCCGACACUGACACUGAGAGACGAAAGCUAGGGGAGCAAAUGGGAUUAGAUACCCCUGUAGUCCCUGUCUCUUAUAC